AACCUUUGGAGUUAGGUACCUAGUUUUCCUUAUGUUAUAUGGUUCCUUUCAUAUAUAUCUUUUGUCUGGUUAAUCAGUAUCAGAGAAUACAUUUUUUACUCUUAUUCAUCUUUCUUUUCUUUUUUACUGAUUUUUUUUUAAAAAGUUAUUUUAACUUUUUUUCUUUCUUUUUCUUUUUCUUUUUUUACCAUUCUUUUCUCUUGUUCUCAAACUCCAACCUUAAAC
rnacentral:lncRNA from 1 species